rnacentral:lncRNA from 1 species
CCACACCCCGCUCAGCCCACACUCCCCCGGGGCCCCCACCUCCCCGCUCCCCCAGCAUGCCCCCCUGCACCCGGGAGGGCCCCAGGUUCUGCCAGGACAGGGCAACCCGAAUCCAAAAUCGAAGCCAGUCAAUAGAAUUAGCACCGUGGUCUGAGCUGUGCCGGGGGAGGGGUGGGGGGCAGAGGAUCACUACAGAUAUGGAAAUCCAGACCGAGGGGAGCCCCAGUCCCUACCAGUCACCCCGCCAACUUCCAAGGCCCGGCGAGGGAGGAAAGAACCAAUCACGGCAGAGAACGGCCUCAGCUCAUGACAGCGAUGGACGGAAGAAUCCCGGAAGAUCUGGGGGGGCAGAGACUGUGUCUGGGGGGGCCCGGCCUUUUAAUCGGGGCAAGCCUGGGGCAGCGGACACUCUAUCCCUGCCCUGUUCCCCCCUCAUCCCCGGGCUACCGAGAAUUCUGGGAAUUCCCCCCCCCCGCACAACUCCAGGUGGCCCGCUGCGGGGGUGGGCAGGAUCCCAUUUUCAUUUGCACAUGGCUUGUGAGUUGCUGCUGCUUGGCCUGUUAUUUUUUUUUGGGGGGGGAAUCUCUGGGAUAUUGGGGGGCCAGAUCUGGGGGGGCAUCCCUGCUGUUCUCACCUGUGUCUGUAAUAAGGGCUACUCCCGGCGGGAGCUGUUUUCCCUCCCCCAAACUCCUAUUCUGCGAUUUGCACUGACAGAGAACCCCUCCCUCCCUCCCUCCCCCGCCAGGCCCCCUCAAAGCCAGCCCACUCCCCGGUGCCGAAAGGGAUCCCAUGGGGGGAAACCCCGUGAAACUCCAAUAGCCCCCCUUUCUCUGGGAAUAACUUACGGGCCCCAGGGCUGUUUGUUUUGGGGGGAGCCCUGUAUGGAAACAGUCCCUACGUGGCGUUAUGUGCAGCUGUUCCCCAGCUGCCCUGCCCCAGAGGUGGCUGUAUCUCUGCCCCAAGUGAAUCUUGUGCACUUUAUUUCCCCCCCCCCCCCCGCAAAUACAAUCCUUCCCUCUCCCCACUUGAAUAUCACCCUGUCCCCGUUUCUGAUCAGUGUUCCCCCCCAAGCUCUGGGAGGAGACGGGGGGGGGGCAGGGAGCCAGGACUCCUGGGUUCUCUCCCCGGCUCAGGGACGGGGCGGUCUGGGGGGGUAGAGCAGAGAGAAAUUGAGGCAGAACUCCAGAGUCCUCACUCCCAGCCCCCCCGCUCUAAUCACCAGAUCGCCCCCCGCUUCCCAUAUCUGGGGCAGGAACCCAGGAGUCCUAAAGGAUUUCUGAAGCCCCACCACCAACGCUGUCCCCUUUGCCCCUCCACCUCAGGGCUGUGCUCCCCAGUUUCUUUUGGGGUCCCCCGAUGUCUGGUUGCCCCCCCAGCAUGCACCUCCCCGGCCCCGGUACCUGCAUCGACUUGGUUUGCUGUACAGACCCCACUGUAUAUAGUAUACAUUAUAAAUAGCGUGCCAGGGAGUGGGGCCCCCCGUGCGCCCCACAGGCCGGGCCCUCCCCCCGGCAUUCCUGGCUCGACGUUGCCGAGAUGACUGUAUUUUUGUUUCCCUCCCGCCCCCCGUCCUUCUUGUAUAUAAAAAACUGUAUAUUUGAUGCUUCAUAAAUGACCCACUGUCCUUUCCG